rnacentral:pre_miRNA from 1 species
AUCUUACUCCCUCCGUCCGGAAAUACUUGUCAUUGAAAUGGAUGUAUCUAGAUGUAUUUUAGUUCUAGAUACAUCCAUUUUCAUCCAUUUUGAUGACAAGUAUUUUCGGACGGAGGGAGUAGUAU